rnacentral:rRNA from 1 species
GAUGAACGCUGGCGGCGUGCCUAAUACAUGCAAGUCGAGCGAACAGACGAGGAGCUUGCUCCUCUGACGUUAGCGGCGGACGGGUGAGUAACACGUGGAUAACCUACCUAUAAGACUGGGAUAACUUCGGGAAACCGGAGCUAAUACCGGAUAAUAUAUUGAACCGCAUGGUUCAAUAGUGAAAGACGGUUUUGCUGUCUCUUAUAGAUGGAUCCGCGCCGCAUUAGCUAGUUGGUAAGGUAACGGCUUACCAAGGCAACGAUGCGUAGCCGACCUGAGAGGGUGAUCGGCCACACUGGAACGGAGACACGGUCCAGACUCCUACGGGAGGCAGCAGUAGGGAAUCUGCCGCAAUGGGCGAAAGCCUGACGGAGCAACGCCGCGUGAGUGAUGAAGGUCUUCGGAGCGUAAAACUCUGUUAUUAGGGAAGAACAAAUGUGUAAGUAACUAUGCACGGCGUGACGGUACCGAAUCAGAAAGCCACGGCUAACUACGUG